UCUCUUACUAUUCCUCUCCAUAGCCAUUGUUCCAUUUUCUCCAAAUCUCCAUUACUUUGCAGUAGCUAUCCACUCUAAAAUCAUUGAUUCUGCUCUUUACACAUUCUUACAAGAUGUAUCAUUUCACCUCCUUUUGUUUUCCUCAUGUAUGAUCUAUUUCUCGAUUCUUAUAUAUACCGCAAUCUACGACUUAUUCAGUCGAAGAUCAAGCUAUGUCCAUGAGAUCUGCUAAGCUGUGUAUUUAACCAACAUCUCCGCGGGUACAGCGGAAUCAGAACUAGGCUUCCGGUUAAUCCGUUUCUGGGAGACGAUAAGCACAAACAGCUAAAGGUGGUUUGCUUAUAGGCUUGGAGCUUCUCCUUACAGGCAAGCAGAAAUGGCUACGCGCAACUUGAAACCUACCGCAUCAAUACCACAACGAAUUUACUUCGAGGCUUUUUGGUUUUCAAAUCCACCGGAUUGGUCAUCAGACUCUACCUUCUUCUCAUUGAUGAAAAUUUAUUGGUUCAUAUUUUUCUCCUGUUCUUAGUGGUUUGUAAAUUUGUCGUUUCAUCGCUCUAAUGUCACAAAGAAACUAUUCUAAUUUACAUUUCUUGCCACUACUCACAGGUUUCGCAGCAGCAACAGUUGUCUUCUUUUUCAAAAAAAAAACAGCUGUGAUCAAGUCAAUUUUUUCAGGCAUCCAGAUGAUUAUUAACAAAAAAAUUUGUUUGAGCUGGAAUCUGAAGUUCGUGUCCUGGAAAGCCUCUGGCAGCUGCUGAAACUGGGGUGAAACUCUGAACACCUGAAGAGGGCGAUUUAUGUAAGCGAUGCAACUGCAAAAAGUCGCAUUUGAAUCUACAGAUUGAGAAUUCAGAGAUCAUGUGGAGAGAUCCCAGAGCUUUUUACACUGAUUUCUAUCAUGGCCGCUGGAACUGGAAGCACUGCUCUUUUCACUGUGAUUUGUAUCUUUGCUUCAAGGCGUGUUCCCUUUUGCACAAACAAGUUCUUCAACACUGGACUUGGUUUCAGUUUGGUCAUACUGCUUUGGGCUGUGGAUAGACUCGGGGGGUGAUUACUUAGCGCAUACUUCUUCCAUGGGUAAAACAUUCUGAUGUUUGAUUGUGUUCUUGCGAUCAAUGAGCCUUAAUCAGCAGCUCGUGCUGGUAACCCCAUAUUAGGUUGUGGCUUCUAAGUUGGCAACAAGAACAAGAGUAAUCUCUGAGGAAGCAAAAGCCACGACCUCUUUAUAUUCUUAUAGGAAACAUCUUUGCUCCUAUGUAAACUAUAUAUGUUUCUCCAAUGACCUGAAGAAUAUAUAAAUUGGUUUUUGUUUGUGUGAUCAGGAACAAACAAAUUUUUGGAAUAUAAAGCAUGUUACCGAAGACUUA